GACGAACGCUGGCGGCGUGCUUAACACAUGCAAGUCGAACGGAAAGGCCCUGCUUUUGUGGGGUGCUCGAGUGGCGAACGGGUGAGUAACACGUGAGUAACCUGCCCUUGACUUUGGGAUAACUUCAGGAAACUGGGGCUAAUACCGGAUAGGAGCUCCUGCUGCAUGGUGGGGGUUGGAAAGUUUCGGCGGUUGGGGAUGGACUCGCGGCUUAUCAGCUUGUUGGUGGGGUAGUGGCUUACCAAGGCUUUGACGGGUAGCCGGCCUGAGAGGGUGACCGGCACAUUGGGACUGAGAUACGGCCCAGACUCCUACGGGAGGCAGCAGUGGGGAAUAUUGCACAAUGGGCGGAAGCCUGAUGCAGCAACGCCGCGUGCGGGAUGACGGCCUUCAGGUUGUAAACCGCUUUCGCCUGUGACGAAGCGUGAGUGACGGUAAUGGGUAAAGAAGCACCGGCUAACUACGUG
rnacentral:rRNA from 1 species